UGAAAACAAAGGCACAAUAAUUGAAAGAUUAUUACGCAAAGAUCUGAGUCUAAGGAUUUAAUCUAUGACUGUCAGAUUUGCCUCA
rnacentral:ncRNA from 1 species